UGGUCCUCCUUGUCUAUUGCUAAGACCACUGGGAUUAAAACAUAUAUUCUUAUCCUUACUAUAGGUGGACUAAUAGACAGAAAAAGGAAGGCUGGAUAUGGCAUUCUGACAGAAUUAACUAUCAAAAUCCGUCUCUGUGCUGAGUGUACCCAGGAAAAGAACAAUUCUUAUUGUUUGCAAAUGUUUUCAACUUAUCAGCAUUUUCAAUUAGUGAAUAAUUCUAAGUAUGGUAACAACAAUGCUAUGUAUUUUCACUAAAUUAACAAGUUUUAUUUUUAAUUUAAGACCAGAUACAUCAUAUCCUGUAACUCACUGCUUCUAGUGAUAUCAUACAUUAACAUUUCCCUUUUUUUCAUUUAAAUAAAUUCCAAUAUUUUUACCUCAGCAUUUGUGAUUUGACAAACUCUGUGUGUUUUCCCCUCUAUAUUUUUUCACCAAAACAAAUAUGUGCUUUCUCUUCAGAUAACCCAGGAGCAUACUAAUACCUGUCUUCUAGAUUCUGUUUGAAUGCCCAGAGGAAUACUGAAUGGAAGUCCUCCAUGUUCACAGGCUUGAAAACACAUUGAAAAUUCUUGACAAUCCCCCAUGGAUGGUAUAACAUAGAAACCAUUUAUUAGGAUUGAAGAAACCACACGACAGACUCCAGAUAAUUCUCUAGUCAAUGUACAAUUGCCUUAGGAGUAAGGUUUAGUCAUUUGUUUCUGUUAAAAUUGAAAAAUGACAGUCCAUCAGUCUAUCACAAAUCCUUGCUUUUUCAAAAGUAUGAGUCAAGCUAAUAGAACAUGUUAGUUAGCAUUCAGAUGCACAGAGGCCUUUUUCAGGUAAUACAAACAAAAUGAAUAAUAAUGUAAAAUAAUAAGACAAAUUACAUUUAUUAGAUUACUAUAUCAAUUAAUUAGAACAUGUUAGUGGCAAAACAACCAUGUUGCAGCGAAGGUUCUUCGCUUUGAAGCACAUGAGUUAAAUUCUGUAUUUUCCCAUACUGAAGUAGACAUGGGCGAAUCUUUCCUGUUUCGCUUCACCAAACAGUUUGAAAAUUGGUGAAAGUCUGUGAAGUGCAUUAAAGUCAAUGGGUGUUUUUUCACUGCAACUUUUCCCAAUCCAUCAUGACUUUUUUUACAUUGCACAAUACAAAUCUAGAGGUGUUUAAUCGCUGCAAAACCUAGUGAAAAAAUUUGCUCAUCACUUCCUAUUACAAGAGUAUAAGACCAUUUUAUAAAAUGUGGACAUUUCUAAUAAAUGCAAGUUACUUGGCCGUACUGAUUGCAAACAGAUUGCAUAUAAAUACAAAGCAAUUAGAGCAGCCCUUCUAGAUUAAUCUUGUCUCCACCUAUUUAUUUUCACUUGAUCUGUUCUAUUUAUGUGUCUCUAUAUAAUUAGAACAUGGGUACACUAACACACUAUGCACUUUACUAAUAUAUGUUCAGCGUUACUGAGGGUUCUGUAUCUUUGGAGCAGAUAAAUAUGUGAUAAACCGGUCUUUCUGUAUCUCCCUAGUUCCAGGCUCUUCUACAAUAUCAGUUUAAAUGCAAUACACAUUAUACAAUAUCAGUUUAAAUGAGUAAAAAAGAAAAGCUUUGGAUGGAGGCAAAUGUACAACAGCUCAACCUUUCUUCUCAGAACAACAGCAGCAGCAAAUUUUACAGCUGUCUCUACAGAAUGCAAAACCACUAGAGAAAAGAUUCAGAGUCUAAACAACAUCCAGCACAAGCUACCUGUCCAAAAGCAAAACUUUAUAGUGUUCUAACUCAUAUUCUGCAGGGGUUAAUGGAACUUUAUUCUAUCCUCAAGAUCUAUCAAGAAAAAAUAUAUUUGAUUACAUUUUUGCCAGUAUAUGGAGUUUAUUUGCUCUCCCUUCUCUUGUUUUGAUUUCCAGGUUACAAAAACUAUGAGAGAAACUGAGAUGGGCUCAACUGCUUUAGGCUCAGUAGCAAAUGUUGUUUGGUUGCAUUCUGUAACAUCAUUCAUCCCAAAGGAUAUAAAAAGGACUUUGGAAGAGGCAGUGAAACUCCUCAGUACUUAAAUAAUGUUAACCUUUUCCCAGCAGGAACUUUUUAUUUGUAGCAGCUUCCAAGAUUACCAAAAAAAUACCCAUUAGGGUAAUUUUUUUCCAUGAGAAAGAAUGUGAAAGCAUUAUGGUAGAUAUGGAUCUAUAUAGUGAAACUUACCUUUUUUAAAUUGGUUUUAUGUGUAGGAAUUUUCAUAUGAGGUUUCUUUAACAAUAAAAUAAUUUACAUGGAGAUAUCUAUUGGAGAAAAGCUCUCUAAUGGUGGAGGACUCCGGGCAAUAAUAUUAGGCAAGAUACAGAGAAAAUAACUUAACAAAGGAAUGAAAACUAUUCUCUGAAGCUGUGAUUUAUGCAACAAUGAUUUAACAUAUCUGUAACCUUGCUAAUAGGUUCAAAUAGUAGGUAGCAACAAGAGCAAUGGAUCCUAAAGCAGUGGUUGUAAACAUUUUCAGUUUAAGCCCUACUCGAAUGUCCAGUUUUAUCUUGCACCCUCUUUAGCUCAUACAAUGAGUACAAAUAGAGGAAAAUGUUGGUAUAUUUAAGAAUAUCUAGGACAGAAAAUAAACAUUUGGUAGAUAAUCUCAGGACCAGGGUUGCAGGCAUUUCCCUUAUACAGUAUUCCAGUGAAAAACAAUCUACUGCCAAUGGUGGAUAUUGAGACAACCAGUGCUACAAACAACAACAAACACACCUAAAUAGUAUGCUGCGUAAGGGUAGAAAUAACUGCCAGAGUUUUCACCGCUCCUGCAAAACUUACAUCGUCUGUUCUUCCUUUUUCCUAGUUUCUAAAAUCUAGUGGCUGAGCAGAAUACAGACCACGAGAUGUUGGUGAUAAUGCAAACAACAAAGAAAGGUAGCAGCAACUGAAAUGCUGAAGACUACAGUGGAUAGCAUUCCAAAGGGAAGAGUGGAACAGACUAUGAGACCAGAGACUGUAGCCUGAUAAACUGCAUUAUUGUUGAAGGUAUAACAUACAGUAUAGCACCUUACUAAUACCCCUACACCGUUAAAGACAAUUAUUAGGAAACAAAAUUUGGAGGAAGGAAGUGAAUGGGUGUGGUAGAUAUCAGUUACCUUAUCUUGCAGCUACUUGGAAAUGACCAAUUUGCUAUAAAGUAUACAAUUCAAAAUUGCGUUGACCCAGGACCCUGCAAACACUUUUUUUGGGGAAUUGUUCUUGUUACUUCUACUAUAUUUUCCUGCUUACUGUGAAUGUUUUGUGCUGCAGACACAGUAAUGUCAAGGUAAACAUUUCAAAACAUUACAGUAUUAUUGUGUGCAUUUUUUUUUUAGCUUUCUUUGCAUAGAGACUGAUCUGAGAUAAAGGCAAUUGAACAAGCACCUGUCAAUUAUGAAGCAUCACCUUUACAGAAAGUCCCCUCCACCUUUCCAUCAAGAAAACCUUUAGCAGUAAAGGCCAAGAGUUUCAGACAAUCUUCCAGCAUCAUAUCAGAAUUGUAAGACCCUUGACAUGGAGUGCAGCCUGUCUCCAAUGAAGACCUUUUGAUCACAAUGCUCUUUUAUUAAGAUUUGACUUCACAUUAUUGCUAAUCAAUAUCUUGCAGCCCUCAGAGCCCCUUGUUAUAAAUAUGUCUCCUACAAUCAGGCAGGGAGGACCACUAAUUGAAGAAAAAGUCAGUGAAUCAGGUACCACAGCCCUCAGGCCAUAGUCCUGCUUGUACAUUUUAUCUUUCAGGGUAUUCUAGCAAUGGUAGAAAUAAAAUUUGGAGACAUGACAGGCAAAGAAAAGAAAGAUCAAUUUCUGUCACUUGCCUCCAAUGUUUACUGCUUUUCUGGGUGUUCAGAUGGUGUUUUCUUUCAUAGCUUAGGGGAACUUAACCUUUUCUAAAUGGAAAGCUGGUGUUCCCAUGCAUUUUAAAGUAUUUUAUCUCACAGUACCACAAUCUGUAUUCUGUCAUUCUAAACUAGAAUGUUACGACUGUUAUAAUGGGAGUACAUUUAUGCGCCUUAUUCUGCAUAUUCGUAUUUAUAGCAAACGUGCUUCUAUAAGCUGUUCUGAAAGAUAUUAAUGCCUGUGCUGUAUAUUCAUACAAAUAUCCUGCAAAUCGGCAAGUCUCUUCCUUUUUGUAACACCAUUUGUAGCCCUGCACUUUGGUAUCUGUUAGAAAGAUUUCAGUAGAUUUCUGAAUACAUGAUGUUAUUAUAGUAAAUAAUCAAUUAUUAUUUGUUCUCGUAUUUUGCAAGAUUUCUAGGGAUAGUAAAACAUUCUCAAACAAUUGCCUGGCAUGUAUAAGAAGUCAUUGAGCAGUAUAUGAAGUACAACUGAUUUAUGCUUUUUGCACAAAAAAUAUGUUUUCCAAAUAAGUUUCAUUUAAUUACAUUUUUUUUCCUCAUUUUGCUUUGAUAUCUCAUGAAAAUGUUAUAAGUGAGGAAGCCUUGACCUUGAAGGGCAUGCAUAAUACAUGAAAGUAAACCUUUAGUAAAAUGUAUUUUUUUUUUUUACUCUUCACUGACUGCUGCGUGCAUUUCUUUUUCUCAUCCCCAAUGACCCAAUAGGGAGAGUUCUGCCAGAGAAGCCAAGGUAUGCAGUUGUGUGCUGCAAAUCCACCAGUUCCAUUAGCUUUCCCCACUGAUGACAGCUGCAAUAUGUUAAUGGCUUGUGUUUGGAUGUGAUGGCCUUGCUGCUACUUAGGGCACUAUGCUAAUUACCAGAAGAUGGUGACAACAGGUGCAAAUGUCACUUCACAUCAGCGUCAGCCCUAUGUGAAAAAUAGCUAGCAGCACCAGAAGCGACUAGAAAAAUGUAUACUUCAGUGUGUAGCCUGUGAUUCUCUGAAGGACUACUCUUUAAUGCUUAUGAUUAAAGCGUUUACAGCAGAACUUAGGAUUUUUUUUGCAAGUGCAGUAUUUUUUAGUUUUCUCUGCCUUUCCUAAAAUAAGCAUUUUUACAUUAUAAUGGAAUAAUGUAAUUUAUGGCGCAGCUCGGGCAAUAUGCUCAAUCUGUAUAAUUAUGAUGUUUUUUUCCAUCUUAGUAAGCGUUUUUAUUCCUGUUUGGGACUUUUUCAUACUGAAUAAAAGAAACAAGACAUUAAAAUGUG